CUCUACAAGGCCUUCAACUCAGCCACCGCCGCUGCCAUUCAAGGCCGAUCUAUGGCCUCAGUCAUCCCAGUCUCCGAUCGCGACGGAGAUGGGAUGAAACGCAACGAAGCCAUGUAAGUUUCUUUUCUUCUCUUUGUAUUAUUAUUUUACAAAAUAAAAAAAAUCAAAAGAAUAUAUGAGAAAAAUAAAAAAAAAUGAAAACACGAUUCACCUUCAAGUUUUUCUUUGUAUUUCAAUCUUUUCUCUCUAUUUUCGUAUAUAUUUUACACUGAAAAAAAAAUCCCCCUUUACAAAUUCGAUAACGGCUUUAAAUAGCCGAAAUGGGAAAAAAAAAUGAACCUAAAUCCGAAGAAAUCUAUCCUGUUUUUUCGUUGGCAUAUUGUUGUUCUGUUCCCUUUUCUUAGCUAUUCUGUUUUGCGUUUGUUGCUGCAGGUAAUGCUGGCGUACGAAGCGGCGCACGCUGGGGAAGGUCGUGGUGCGAGAUUCGCAGCGGCGUGCGAGGGUGAGUUGCGGCGAUGCUGAAGCAAAUAGGCUCCUAGGGUUUCUGUUAUUUUGUUUUUGUGUGGGCUAGGUUUUUAAAUUAAAAAAUACAAAGAUUUAAUAUCUCAAAAUUAAAAUAUAAAAACUAAAUUUUAAAUUCGAGAAGAGAUAAAAAGAUUGAAACUCAUUUAAAAUUUGGACUUUAGUUUUUGGUUGCUAUUAGUCCUUGUACUUUACAAAAAGUUAUGAUUGCUAUUAGUCUCUAUAUUAUAGGGGUUGGAUCAACUUCAUUCCCCUAUUAUUAGAUCGAUUAAUUUAGUCUCUAUACUAUUAAAAAAAUCAAAUU
rnacentral:lncRNA from 1 species